rfam:TPA: Bos taurus chromosome 19, whole genome shotgun sequence.
UCCCUAGUGGCUCAGAUGGUAAAGAAUCUGCCUGAAAUGCAAGAGACCCAGGUUCGAUCCCUGGGUUGGGAA